rnacentral:rRNA from 1 species
GACGAACGCUGGCGGCGUGCUUAACACAUGCAAGUCGAACGGAAAGGCCCUGCUUUUGUGGGGUGUUCGAGUGGCGAACGGGUGAGUAACACGUGAGUAACCUGCCCUUGACUUUGGGAUAACUUCAGGAAACUGGGGCUAAUACCGGAUAGGAGCUCCUGCUGCAUGGUGGGGGUUGGAAAGUUUCGGCGGUUGGGGAUGGACUCGCGGCUUAUCAGCUUGUUGGUGGGGUAGUGGCUUACCAAGGCUUUGACGGGUAGCCGGCCUGAGAGGGUGACCGGCCACAUUGGGACUGAGAUACGGCCCAGACUCCUACGGGAGGCAGCAGUGGGGAAUAUUGCACAAUGGGCGGAAGCCUGAUGCAGCAACGCCGCGUGCGGGAUGACGGCCUUCGGGUUGUAAACCGCUUUCGCCUGUGACGAAGCGUGAGUGACGGUAAUGGGUAAAGAAGCACCGGCUAACUACGU